AUCUCAAUCAAAUGCAACAAUUACCUAACAUAGCUUUAAAUAUGCAAUUAUGCAACAAAUUAGGCACCCUUAUUUGGAACUCUAUAUUAAUAAAGAGAAAAUAUUGCUUUUAGUGGAUUCUUCACACAAAAUCUUUAAACUUCAAAUUGAAAAGAAAACUGAAAUUUAGCGGGUUUUUUGUUCUCCAUUUCACUAUUGUGGAAGCUUUUGAUUUUCUAAAAACCCUUUCUCGUGAAGGGAUAAAGAAAGAAACCCCACCGCCGUCAAAAACCCUUCUUUCCAUCUUCAUUCAUUUCCACACCCCUUCUUCUAUCUUGUGUUGGCUUAUUUGGAGAUUUGCUUUUAAGUGUACCACUCUCACCAUGUUUGGAACUCAUAGACAACUCUAGCGUGACAAGUUUGUCUAGAUCAAUUUAGGUGGUAAAUUUUUUUAACAUAAACUGUCUUGAACAAUGAUUGUUCUGAAUGUAAUUCUCGCUUCUACGGUGACAUGGAACUAAUUCUCGCUGUUUUUUAACAAAUGUAUAGCAGAUUGACUUUUUGCUAUAGUUUUAUUUUAUUUUUAUUGAACAACUGUUUUAUACUCUUCCCUUAUUUAUCUAUUUUAUGCCAUUUUUACUGGUCAGUUAUUUUUAUGGGUUUGAGCUAUGCUUAUGUUAAAUUAAUGGAACCAUAUGCUUACCUUCUCUUA